AACCAACAGGGAUUGCCUUAGUAACGGCGAGUGAAGCGGCAACAGCUCAAAUUUGAAAGCUGGCCCUUUCAGGGUCCGCGUUGUAAUUUGUAGAGGAUGAUUCGGCGAGGGCUCCCGCCUAAGUCCCCUGGAACGGGGCGUCAUAGAGGGUGAGAAUCCCGUAUGCGGUGGGCUGCCUUAGCCGUGUGAAUCUCCUUCGACGAGUCGAGUUGUUUGGGAAUGCAGCUCUAAAUGGGAGGUAAAUUUCUUCUAAAGCUAAAUACCGGCCAGAGACCGAUAGCGCACAAGUAGAGUGAUCGAAAGAUGAAAAGCACUUUGGAAAGAGAGUUAAAAAGUACGUGAAAUUGUUGAAAGGGAAGCGCUUGCAACCAGACUUGUCCGCAGUUGCUCAGCCGGUCUCCUGACCGGCGUACUCUUCUGCGGCCAGGCCAGCAUCAGUUCGGGCGGUCGGAUAAAGACCUCGGGAAUGUAGCUCCUCUCGGGGAGUGUUAUAGCCCGGGGUGGAAUGCGGCCAGCCUGGACUGAGGAUCUCGCUUCGGCAAGGAUGCUGGCGUAAUGGUUGUAAGCGGCCCGUCUUGAAACACGGACCAAGGAGUCUAACAUCUAUGCGAGUGUUUGGGUGUCAAACCCAUACGCGUAAUGAAAGUGAACGGAGGUGGGAACCCGCAAGGGCGCACCAUCGGCCGAUCCUGAUGUCUUCGGAUGGAUUUGAGCAAGAGCAUAGCUGUUGGGACCCGAAAGAUGGUGAACUAUGCCUGAAUAGGGUGAAGCCAGAGGAAACUCUGGUGGAGGCUCGCAGCGGUUCUGACGUGCAAAUCGAUCGUCAAAUUUGGGUAUAGGGGCGAAAGACUAAUCGAACCAUCUAGUAGCUGGUUCCUGCCGAAGUUU
rnacentral:rRNA from 1 species